GUCGAGCUUUCCGAAUGAGUCUUAUUUCUUCAAUUUGAAUCUUUUCUUCAAAAACUUCUGCGAUCAACUCUUCAAGACUCCAACCAACUUUACGAAAUUCGCCAACCUAUAAAAUCCUUAACAAUCUCCCCCUUUGGCGAUUUCGUGACAAAAUAUACUAUAAAGUCGUACACAACUCAGAAACAAUAAAAAAAAGAUCAUCGCAAUCACCAAACGACAAUCUCCUGCAUGAUCAAUCUAAUAAACGAAAAUUACAAUUUUCAUAAUCUUAAUACAAACUCUAUGACUUAGACAUGGAGUCUUGAAGUUUUGAAUUAUUCCUGCAAAAAUAUUCUCAAAACAUAAUCAAGAUUCAAGUAUCAAGAUCAAACAAAGUAUCAAGUCAUAGUUCAUAGUCAUAGUUCAUAAUCAAACACUUAAAGCACCCACUAAACAAAGUUCAUCUAAACAAAAUGCUGCAUCAAAGCGAUCAAAAGCAUCAUCAUCAAAACGAAAAUGCAACAUCAUCAUCAUCUAGAACCACC
rnacentral:lncRNA from 1 species